UACAGAGGUCCCGAGCGUUGUUCGGAAUUACUGGGCGUAAAGCGCGCGUAGGCGGCUUUGUAAGUUAGAGGUGAAAGCCCGGAGCUCAACUCCGGAACUGCCUUUAAGACUGCAUCGCUAGAAUUGUGGAGAGGUAAGUGGAAUUCCGAGUGUAGAGGUGAAAUUCGUAGAUAUUCGGAAGAACACCAGUGGCGAAGGCGACUUACUGGACACAUAUUGACGCUGAGGUGCGAAAGCGUGGGGAGCAAACAGG
rnacentral:rRNA from 1 species